rnacentral:lncRNA from 1 species
UGCCUUGCCUCAAUCUUUAUCAUUGGCUCUCGCGAUGACUUGGCUCUACGAGGGGAAAGACGGGAUGACUUAGCUCUACGAGGGGAUAGACAUGAUGACUUUGCUCUACGAGGGGAUAGACAUGAUGACUUAGCUCUACGAGGGGAUAGACAGCCAAGCUUCAUAAUCUUUUGGGCCUUCAUAACGCGCCUCUUUGCAGCUAAGAAGCUCUUUAAUGGGGGCACAGGAGCAUGAUGAUGGCCAUUAAGGGAACAGUAUGUGUAUGGGCAAACCUUCAUAGCUGAAGUUCCUUCAGAUUCUGUCGCCCCACUGCUAAGUUCAAGGUACGUUGGAAAUUUCGAGUCUUUCAAAGUUGAAGAACAUGUUGGUUUCUGAACAUCAAAUUCUUCACACAAAGCAAUAGGGGAGUAUUUCUUUGUGGAAGCUCUUGCUGGUUUGAAACUAGGAGUCUUUGUCAAGGUCCUCACUAGUUUCAAAUUAGAUGUUCUAGCUAGCCCUCCUACUGUUUUAUAAUCAGAAUCUGAGCUAUGCCUUGAGUUGUUUGAUUUCAUUGGACUCACAGUACUCUUCCUAAUCACAACACUCUGAGGAGUUUGAGGACUAACCUGAGACUGCUCUUUCCGCGCAUCAAAACAGCUUGUAGACUUCAUAUAAUUUGGUGAUUCCUCUGGAGCUUUGACAGGAGAUUGCCUCAGAGGAGUGGCUGCCCUGGUUUUGACAUGAUCAGAAGUUGGUGGCUUGCCAGUCUGU